UGCCAGCAGCCGCGGUAAUACAGAGGAUGCAAGCGUUAUCCGGAAUCACUGGGCUUAAAGAGCUCGUAGGUGGUUAAAAAAGUUGAUGGUGAAAUCCCAAGGCUCAACCUUGGAACUGCCAUCAAAACUUUUUAGCUUGAGUAUGAUAGAGGAAAGUGGAAUUUCUAGUGUAGAGGUGAAAUUCGUAGAUAUUAGAAAGAACACCAAAAGCGAAGGCAACUUUCUGGAUCAUUACUGACACUGAGGAGCGAAAGCAUGGGUAGCGAAGAGGAUUAGAUA
rnacentral:rRNA from 1 species